UACGUAGGGUGCGAGCGUUGUCCGGAAUUACUGGGCGUAAAGAGCUCGUAGGUGGUUUGUCGCGUCGUCUGUGAAAUUCCGGGGCUUAACUCCGGGCGUGCAGGCGAUACGGGCAUAACUUGAGUACUGUAGGGGAGACUGGAAUUCCUGGUGUAGCGGUGAAAUGCGCAGAUAUCAGGAGGAACACCGGUGGCGAAGGCGGGUCUCUGGGCAGUAACUGACGCUGAGGAGCGAAAGCAUGGGUAGCGAACAGGAUUAGAUACCCUAGUAGUCC
rnacentral:rRNA from 1 species